rnacentral:rRNA from 1 species
CCUACGGGAGGCAGCAGUGGGGAAUAUUGCACAAUGGGCGCGAGCCUGAACCAGCCAAGUAGCGUGAAGGAUGACUGCCCUACGGGUUGUAAACUUCUUUUAUAAAGGAAUAAAGUGAGGCACGUGUGCCUUUUUGUAUGUACUUUAUGAAUAAGGAUCGGCUAACUCCGGGCCAGCAGCCGCGGUAAUACGGAGGAUCCGAGCGUUAUCCGGAUUUAUUGGGUGUAAAGGGAGCGUAGAUGGGUUGUUAAGUCAGUUGUGAAAGUUUGCGGCUCAACCGGAAAAUUGCAAUUGAUACUGGCAGCCUAGAGUACAGUUGAGGUAGGCGGAAUUCGUGGUGUAGCGGUGAAAUGCAUAGAUAUCACGCAGAACCCCGAUUGCGAAGGCAGCAUACCGGUGCACAACUGACGCUCAGGCACGAAAGCGUGGGUAUCGAACAGGAUUAGAUACCCUUGUAGUC